UAAUUUGCGCUUCACUGUUGUGUAAAUUACGUUCCUAAUGACUUGCGAUUGAUGUCAAAGUCAUUUCGCAACAAGAAAAUAUCCGUUGCAAAUGAAACAUGCCACACGGUGGCUGCCUGCCACUCGAGCGAGCGUGUGCCAAGUCUCCACGGUGCUGAACGACAGCCAAUGUUAAGAGCAUCUAAUUGGGGGAAAUUAGUAGCGUGAUGAAGGUUUGAAUUUAAUCACAGAGGAGGGACAGAACAGAAGCUGCUGUUCUCCCUUCAGGCUACGCUGCUGCAUACCAAUCUACUGUUAGAGACGAGAGAAGCAAUCACGCUUUAGAAUCCAUCCACUAUGCACUAGUACCAGUCUCGCAACGUGUUCGGUUUAGCUCUUCACUUUGUGUCCAACGCUGCAAUUAUUUCUCAAUUUAUCAGUGCUGUGCCAAUUUAUCUGUAAUGCACAUGUAGGAUUAAAACACACCAGAGUUAAAUUAUCAAGUGUGCAAGAUAACAAAGCUGCGCAGUACCUGUCGAUAACCCAUUAAUCAAGCGGUAGUUUAAAACAUUUCUACUGAAUGAAAACCUAACACACACACACUGCUGCACUUUAUUAUGAAAAUGUACUGCAUUUUUAAAAACAAAAGUAAAUAUUAAUAUAUUAUAUUAAAGUAAAUAAAAGAUACACAUCCAAAUCGAACCAAAAAGUAACACCCCAAAUAACACAAAAAAAAAGACGUCCAAAAUGAAUCAAAUAGCAUAACAAAAUUUGUCAGUGAUAGUUUUUAAUUUCGCCUCUAGAGGCCGCUCUCGUACUCGUACCGUAUAACGACAAGAACAAUUCGCAAAGCGGGUUUUCAGUGCCGAUCAAUCGGUCGACCUUUAAUAUAAAGCAUGUUUUCCCAUUUGGAGGCACUGCAACUUGAACCGAUAGGAAUAUUUUAUGGUUUUCGUGAAAGUACAAUAUUAGUAUAUGUAGCUUUGUGUGUGUGUUCAUUUUUAAACAGUAGGUGUGCUGCUCCAUGUAAUAAAUUAACACUACUGUGAUCAGUGAAUUUAUAAUCCCAAAUACUGCAUUAUAGCAGUCUGCAUAACGUCUGAAUACCGUAUUUUCUGAAUUAUUAAAAAUCCCCCCCCCACCCCACACACACAUUUGCAGGCGUUGACUUCUACUUGUAGGGACCUGUUUAUUUUGGUUUUAGCCAAGCAGGUGUCUGAUGGGUCAUGUUUUAGAAGCAGUACAAAGAACUAAUCAACUUUAGCACUCAGGUGUAGUCAUGAGGUUUGUUUUGAUGCCACAUUUUAUUCAAAAGCUAAUUAAUUAGAAUUUCAUGCAAAACAUUACUUUUUUUUCGUGGGGAGGGGGGGUUUGUUGGCUUAAAAGAAAUUAGCACUAAGGUGUGUUCAAAUGUUGGUUAUAAAAGGAACACUUCAGCCGGCAGGAUGAAGAUGCUAAGAGAAGAGCGAGUGUAAUUAACUUCUGUUCAUGUAGAUGAGCAUUUGAAAUCUGAACUUGGACCCAAAUUAAUGAGAAACAUAAGCACAUGAUUAUGAUUAACACAUCGGUGUAAACACCAACACACUGUAAACACUCGUGGAACACUGCAAGGCCACGGACCUUAAAAUCAACACGUUUUCGAUGUGGCGCGUUAACGAUGACGCCUAACCGAAAAGCUUUCUGACUUCGUAUUAAUUUUGAAGAAUGUGCUGUACUUUGUUUCUCCUCUCUCCAAAAGUAAUCUCAAAGGAUACGUCUGUACAGAUGUUCCUGCCUCAGUGGGAGAUAACUCCGGAGCUGUUUUCUGACUCAUUUCUGUAAUCGCUUAGUUCCGCACGCUUUGGAACGUCAUCAAACGCCAGACGUGAUCAAUGACUUUCUAAACCAGUCAUCACCAAGGGCACCUCUUAAUGUUACCGAGGAUUUCGGCUCACCGAAACUUAUCACACCCGUCUUUUAUGUAUAUUUACUCAGGGGAUUAAAUAAGCCAUGGUGUUUCUCUAUCACCGUGACCAGGUCAUAUUAGUCUUUUAGAGAUUCACAGGAUUGGAAAAUGGAGAACAAACCUACGCAGUGUAAGAAACUGGAAACUGCCAUGGAGUGUCUAAAGGAAGGCAUAUUUUCAUUAUCUUCUGAUGUCUGGUUGUUUGGAGCUACACUCUGAGAUCCUGACACGCUGUGACCAUCAUCAAAGUCCACCUGUGAAAUAUGUCGAGAUGACAGGGAGGAACGUACCAGGUCACUUAAUUAUAAAAAAAAUUGAUCACCCUGUUGGAGGAAAACGGGCACUGGCUGUGCCCUCGCCCUCAAGGACUGUCCAGAGGAGGUGUACGUGCUGAUGGAGCAGUGCUGGGACCUCACACCGCAGCAGCGUCCAACAUUUGAGUCCCUGGCCAAGGCUUGGGAGGAAAUAUUUUAGUCCUAACUAGUUUCUUA